rnacentral:rRNA from 1 species
AGCGGUAAGGCCUUUCGGGGUACACGAGCGGCGAACGGGUGAGUAACACGUGGGUGAUCUGCCUUGCACUCUGGGAUAAGCCUGGGAAACUGGGUCUAAUACUGGAUAUGACCAUGGCAUGCAUGUGCUGUGGUGGAAAGAUUUAUCGGUGUGAGAUGGGCCCGCGGCCUAUCAGCUUGUUGGUGGGGUAAUGGCCUACCAAGGCGACGACGGGUAGCCGACCUGAGAGGGUGACCGGCCACACUGGGACUGAGACACGGCCCAGACUCCUACGGGAGGCAGCAGUGGGGAAUAUUGCACAAUGGGCGGAAGCCUGAUGCAGCGACGCCGCGUGAGGGAUGAAGGCCUUCGGGUUGUAAACCUCUUUCAGCAGGGACGAAGCGUGAGUGACGGUACCUGCAGAAGAAGCACCGGCUAACUACGUGCCAGCAGCCGCGGUAAUACGUAGGGUGCGAGCGUUGUCCGGAAUUACUGGGCGUAAAGAGUUCGUAGGCGGUUUGUCGCGUCGUUUGUGAAAACCCGGGGCUCAACUUCGGGCUUGCAGGCGAUACGGGCAGACUUGAGUGUUUCAGGGGAGACUGGAAUUCCUGGUGUAGCGGUGAAAUGCGCAGAUAUCAGGAGGAACACCGGUGGCGAAGGCGGGUCUCUGGGAAACAACUGACGCUGAGGAACG